AUGUAGUGUGGUAGAAGUUUAUUCACAUUUCAGAGUUACUUGCCGCCUUCAUGAAGGAGGUAAGCGACAUCUGUAAACUACUUCUAGACCAUGUGAUACAACAAUCCAAAAGACAGUCUUCAUACUCACCACUGUCAUAACCUGAAAUCUCACCAAAUACAUUAUUUUGUAAGCAUGUGUGAUUUCAAUUAAGUAGAAUCUAAUCACAUUUGAAAAAUAUACAUGUUUCAUGUUACUGGCACUUGAUUGAUCUGGAAAUUUUAUAAGAGACUUUGCUCUAUCCACUGUUUUUCUCUUCUUCCAUAAUAAACAAGCCCCUACAAAUGUGGACUUUUGAGUGUUUAUACAACUGGCCUACAAGACCUGAAACUUUUGUGGGGAAAGGGUGUUCAUACAAAGCUUUGGUACUUUCUGUAUGGAAAAAAGUAUUUUCAUGAAUGCUGAUUUCACAAAUCUCUUUCAAUCAGACUAAAAUUUCUUCAAAUGAACAACCUUCAUUAUUCAGCCAAAUCAAAUCCACAGCACACUGGCAAGCUGAUAUACCUGGAACACCACUUGAGCUCUGUGUGGAUACAUCACUGCACAGGGCAGUGCCCUCAACAAAAUUCUAUCACCCAGCCCACAGCUUCGCCUUGCCGACUACUGUCCCAGCUCUACACUAAAUUCUUUAAAGAUGUUGAGAUAGCGUACGAAUUCACACAUCUCUUGGAAUUGGUGUUGAAUGACGCUGCAGUUGAAGGCACCAAUUUCCUUUAAUCAUUUGGUGGUGUAACCUUACAACUGUUUGACAUGAAUGUAAGCUUAUCAUAUUCUUUUAAGAUAUGUUUUGAACUACCUUCUACAAUAACAAAGUUUUCC